rnacentral:rRNA from 1 species
GACGAACGCUGGCGGCGUGCCUGAUACAUGCAAGUCGUGCGAGGGUCUUCGGACCCUAGCGGCGAACGGGUGAGUAACACGUGGGCAACCUGCCCUCAAGACUGGGAUAACACCGGGAAACCGGUGCUAAUACCAGAUAAUCUUCAGCCUCGCAUAGGGCUGGAGUAAAAGGAUCUUCCACUUGAGGAUGGGCCAGCGGCGCAUUAGCUUGUUGGUAGGGUAACGGCCUACCAAGGCGACGAUGCGUAGCCGACCUGAGAGGGUGAUCGGCCACACUGGGACUGAGACACGGCCCAGACUCCUACGGGAGGCAGCAGUAGGGAAUUUUCCGCAAUGGGCGAAAGCCUGACGGAGCAACGCCGCGUGAGUGAGGACGGCCUUCGGGUUGUAAAACUCUGUUCUGAAGGAAGAAGUUCUGACGGUACUUCAGGAGAAAGCCCCGGCUAACUACGUGCCAGCAGCCGCCGUAA